UAAAAGUAAGCAUUUUUUUAAAAUCACAUUCAUUUUGAAAUAAAAAAAAAUAUUUAGAACUCAAAUAACAUUCUAAAGAAAAUGAAAAAUUAUCUUAUGAUUUAAGUAUUUAUUGUGACGAAUUUGAAACAAAUCAAUUUUUUCAUCGAUCACCUCCUGUUCCGUAUCGAUUUACGAUCAUCAAAAUACUCCUAUUUUCUGUUCUGAAUUCGUUUAUUAUUUUUUACUGUUUGUAGGGAUGUCAAUGGGUACGGAUACCAGAAAUUUUAUUCAAACCCGAAUCCGAACGGAAAGGAUUUAUUCGAUGCUAAACGGAUAUGAUUUCAUAUAUGGAUAUCAAAAAUAAAACCCGACGAAUAUGAAUUCGGAUAUGAAUUUUGACUGCACCCGACCCGAACCCGACGCAAACCCGAAUUUAUUUUACAUUAUAUAUAAUAUGUAUAUAUAAAAAUUUGAUAUUAUAUUUGAAUUUGUAUUUUAAAAUUUUCAAUUUAAUGUAAUAUAUUUUGAAAUAGUGAAAAGAGAAAUAAUUAUUUCAGCUUCGGAUUUUCGGGUUUCGGUUCGGAUUUGAAUUUCGGGUUUGUGUCGGGUUCGGAUUUGAAUAUGAAUUUUUAAGAUCCGUUGGAUUCGGAUUCGGGUUUUAAAAAAUGCGUCUCGAAUCCGAUCCGUUGACAUUCCUAACUGGUUGUUCCAUUUAGGACGGAUCGGGG
rnacentral:lncRNA from 1 species